rnacentral:tRNA from 1 species
CAGCGUAGCUCAGUGGUAGAGCAGGGGACUCAUAAGCCCUUGGUCGCAGGUUCAAAUCCCGCCGCUGCC